rnacentral:rRNA from 1 species
UACGAGGGGGGCGAGCGUUGUUCGGAAUUAUUGGGCGUAAAGCGCUCGUAGGCGGAUCAGUAAGUCUGCAAAGAAAGACCCGGGCUCAACUCGGGGAACGGUGUGGAUACUACUGAUCUUGAGGCAAUCAGAGGAUGAUGGAAUUCCCGGUGUAGCGGUGAAAUGCGUAGAUAUCGGAAGGAACACCUGUGGCGAAAGCGGCUCACUGGACCAUUACUGACGCUGAUGCGCGAAAGCUAGGGGAGCAAACAGG